rnacentral:rRNA from 1 species
AUUGAACGCUGGCGGAAUGCUUUACACAUGCAAGUCGAGCGGCAGCGCGGGGCAACCUGGCGGCGAGCGGCGAACGGGUGAGUAAUACAUCGGAACGUACCCAGUUGUGGGGGAUAGCCCGGCGAAAGCCGGAUUAAUACCGCAUACGACCUGAGGGUGAAAGGGGGGGAUCGCAAGACCUCUCGCAGUUGGAGCGGCCGAUGGCGGAUUAGCUAGUUGGUAGGGUAAAGGCCUACCAAGGCGACGAUCCGUAGCUGGUCUGAGAGGACGACCAGCCACACUGGAACUGAGACACGGUCCAGACUCCUACGGGAGGCAGCAGUGGGGAAUUUUGGACAAUGGGGGCAACCCUGAUCCAGCCAUUCCGCGUGAGUGAAGAAGGCCUCGGUUGU